CCUACGGGAGGCAGCAGUAGGGAAUCUUUCACAAUGGGCGAAAGCCUGAUGGAGCAACGCCGCGUGCAGGAUGAAGGCCUUCGGGUUGUAAACUGCUUUUAUAAGCGAGAAAUAUGAUGGUAACUUAUGAAUAAGGAUCGGCUAACUACGUGCCAGCAGCCGCGGUCAUACGUAGGAUCCGAGCAUUAUCCGGAGUGACUGGGUGUAAAGAGUUGCGUAGGUGGCAUAAUUAGUAGCUAGUGAAAUCUGGUGGCUCAACCAUUCAGACUAUUAGCUAAACUGUUAAGCUCGAGACCGUUAGGGGUAACUGGAAUUUCUAGUGUAGGAGUGAAAUCCGUAGAUAUUAGAAGGAACACCAAUAGCGUAGGCAGGUUGCUGGGACGGUUCUGACACUAAGGCACGAAAGCGUAGGGAGCAAACGGGAUUAGAUACCCGUGUAGUC
rnacentral:rRNA from 1 species